ACUUUAAGACUAUGCCGGCAAGUUCCUUCAGCAUCACGUAACCACUAGUUUUAUUCCAGUAAUUUUCUGCUAUACUUCCUCGUCAUUUCUGAACACAGGGAGAGCUGCCGUGGGACUCUGUAGUAAAUGAAGAAGCGAUGGAGCCAAUUCUGCGGUGCAUCAUGAAUCAGAGUGGCCUUCUCCUAUACCCCAUGAGGCUCUACUUGAGUUGCUCCAAGCAUGGAAAGUUUCUCUUGAAGAAACUUUUAAGACUGUCGUGUGAGUGGAAUCACAGAGCAUGAGGACUUCAUAGUUCAUGAGGGAUGGUUUUCCCUACUCGGUAUCACUAACUGAAUGUUCAUGGCAUCAUCUGCAUAGUAAUGAAUUACUCCUUUAAAAACA